rnacentral:rRNA from 1 species
UGGCUCAGAGUGAACGCUGGCGGCGUGCUUAACACAUGCAAGUCGAACGGUUCACGCAAGUUUCGCAAGAAAAAUGCAUGAAUAGUGGCAAACGGGUGAAUAAUGCUUGAAUAAUCUGCCCUUCAGAGGGAACCAACUCCGAGAAAUCGGGGCUAAUGUCCCAUAUUGUCCCUUAGUCGCAGGAUUGAGGGAUGAAAAGACCUCCGCAAGGAGAAUCGCUGAGGGAUGAGUUCAAGUCCUAUUAGCUAGUUGGCGGGGUAAUGGCCCACCAAGGCGAUGAUGGGUAGCCGGCCUGAAAGGGCGAUCAGCCACACUGGCACUGAGACACGGGCCAGACUCCUACGGGAGGCAGCAGUGGGGAAUUUUGGACAAUGGGCGCAAGCCUGAUCCAGCAACGCCGCGUGAGGGAUGAAGGCCUUCGGGUCGUAAACCUCUUUUAGGGGGGAUGAGUCCCGUCGUAAGACGGGAGGACAGUACUCCCAGAAUAAGCUACGGCUAACUACGUGCCAGCAGCCGCGGUAAUACGUAGGUAGCGAGCGUUACUCGGAUUUACUAGGUGUAAAGGGCAGGUAGGUGGUCUGGCAAGUUACAAGUGAAAGCCCCAACGAAAUUGGGGAUGUCUUGUAAUACUGCCGGACUUGAGUGUGGUAUGGGGGACCAGAAUUCCAGGUGUAGCGGUGAAAUGCGUAGAGAUCUGGAGGAAUACCGAUGGCUAAAGCGGGUCCCUGAGCCAUUACUGACACUGAGCUGCGAAAGCGUGGGGAGCAAACAGGAUUAGAUACCCUGGUAGUCCACGCUGUAAACGAUGGAAACUUGAUAUGGGAGGUAUCGACCCCUUCCGUGUCGAAGCUAACGCAUUAAGUUUCCCACCUGGGGAGUACGGCCGCAAGGUUGAAACUCAAAGGAAUUGACGGGGGCCCGCACAAGCAGUGGAGCAUGUGGUUUAAUUCGACACAACGCGAAGAACCUUACCUGGGCUUGAACUGUGUAUUGUACCCUUUCGAAAGAAUAGGGGACCCGCAAGGGAGUAUACAGAGGUGCUGCAUGGCUGUCGUCAGCUCGUGUCGUGAGAUGUAUGGUUAAGUCCCAUAACGAGCGCAACCCUUGUCCCAUGUUGCAACUCCGGCGCAAGCCGGAAGCACUCUUGGGAGACCGCCUCCGUUGAGGGGGAGGAAGGUGAGGAUGACGUCAAGUCAUCAUGGCCUUUAUGUCCAGGGCUACACACGUGCUACAAUGGCUAUUACAAUUGGAAACCAACCCGCAAGGGGGAGUAAAUCCAAAAAAAUAGCCCCAGUUCAGAUUGAGGGCUGCAAUUCGCCCUCAUGAAGUCGGAAUUGCUAGUAAUCGCUGAUC